ensembl:lncRNA
CUCUCGCGCCCCGGCGUUGUCAGAGCGGCGGAGCGGCGCGGGAACUGCGCGUCUCGAAGUUCGGGGCGAGCAGCGCCGCGUCCCCGCAAGAAGGGGUGCGAUGACGUAGAGCGGAGCCUAAGAGGCUCCUGCUGGAUGCGUCUCCCCAUAGUCCCGUUCUAACCACAGUGUGCCCGCAGGAAAGUGAAGGGAGCCCGCAGGAAAGUGAAGGGAGCCCACAUGCGAGUUUGCGUUUGUGUAGGUAGGCCGGCUGUGAGUGACAGACCCAGCGCUGCCCACAGACGGGUGCCCCAUGCAUCCUGCCACCCAGCUGCUGUCAGAUAUCCACGAGGAGCUCCGUGCUGCUGGGCAAGGUGACCACAGCCUGGUUCACACCAUUAAACAAAGGCAACACAGAGCAGCACCUCAGUUCCUCUUCAGGACAUUUACCCGGUGCUUCGAGACAAAUGUAUUUCCACAUACCUGGCAGGAUAGGCCACCUCCUAGGGGUUGGAAGGGACCUCUGGAGACCAUCUGGGCCAACCCCUGCCACAGCAGCUCCCCACGGCAGGUCGCACAGGUAGGCGUCCACGUGGGUCUUGAGUAUCUCCAGACGAGACUCCGCAGCCUCUCUGGGCAGCCUGUUCCAGUGCUCUGCCACCCUCACAGCGAAUAAGUUUUCCCCAUAUUCGUGUGGAACUUUGUACGUUCCGGUUUGUACCCACUGCCCCUUGUUCUGCCACUGGGUAUCACCAGAGCCUGGCUCCAUCUGCACGGCUUCCUCUCAUUAGAUAUUUAUAAACAGCAGUGAGACCCCCUCUAAGUCUCCUCCAGGCUGAACAGCCCCAGGACUCUCAGCCUUCCCUCGUUCAGGAGAUGCUCCAGACCUUCAUCGUCUCUGUGGCCCUCCACUGCACUCUCUCUAGAAUAUCCCUGUCUUUCUCGAACUGAGGAGCCCAGAACCGACACAGCACUCUAGAUGUGGCUGCACCAGGACCUUUACAAGCCAUGCUCAGCUCAGACAUAACUGUAGUUCCAUUUCCUAGGGGCUGGAUGAGACUCCUCACUGCCCAUCCUUGAUGCAGCCAAAGGGAGGGACCCCGGUGGGAGUCACUGCCACAGCUGUGCUUCAUAGUUUGGGGUGAUAAAGGCUGGUCCUCCUGUCUUGAAAAAGGGACCAGGAAGGUGAAUUACUCAAAUCAGUCCUAUUGGAAGGUAAUUGCAUGGAUAACAGCAGCCCCGAGAGAGAAGGCCACAGUUAUUGGCAGCCAGUUGGGCGAGAUCCACUUUACCCUGUGCCCGGAGAGCCUAUUGAUCCCCUAAGAGCAAACCCUGCUUUCACACAGUGUCCUACCCAGAAGCAAAUAUCCAACUGUGCCGGCCUGAGAUCUGCAGAGGGACAUGCAUGGGAGGACACACUGGGUCUAGCAGCACAGGACAGGGCUUUGGAGAGCCCCUGAGGCUCCAAGCGAGCAAUGCUGUAGGUACAGACUGGGCAAAUCCAAACCCUCACUGGGAAAGCACCUUCCCUAUGGGGAAGCCAUAGCUUUAUUCCUUUGCCCAAAAGCCAGCAGCAUCUGGCCUCGGGGCUGUGCAUGCCGUGGUUCAUGCAUAGGCUUCCAGUCCAGCAAGGACCGAGGCUGUAAAGUGAAGCACAUCCACCAGCCCUGCUGUACUCCUGUGCUCAUUGGUGUUGCAGGAGAAACUAAUAGAACCAUCAUAAAGUCACUCUGAAUGUUUGUCCUAAGAGGACAUCCUAACUCAUUUGUAUGGUAAGUUGCUGCUUGUCUACUAGCUUUCAGGACCAGAUUCCACCACACCCUGUUUCCAUCUGCAUUAGACGGAGCUGUCAGCAUCUCACCUCUGACAAAAAGAGCAUCAGUAUUCCUUGGCAGCAGGCAGGGGAAGCUCUGCAUACAGUGAGCACUUUAACACCCUCGUGGAUGUGCAGGCCUGUGAGCCUGGAGAUGUUUGCUCAGCCAGACCAAGUGGCUGAGCCCAGCCUCCUCUGGUGCAAGCGGCCAUUAGACAUAGAGGGAGCCGAUCCUCUUUCCGUUCACCUGCCUCCUGCAUGGCCAUGCUGGUGGGACCGGAACCGCCCCGAGCUGCAUGGGCCCUCCCUGCACUGCAGAUUUUGUGUUGUGCUCAUUUUCAAACAACCCCUCCCCUCCCACUGGGGCUUCAGGCAGCAUCCCUUCCAUAGGAUAAACCGCCUCUUCCUCAGCUUGGUUACAGCAACCCUAAAAUUGGAAGUGAGAACUUAGCAGGAAGAAAGAGCUGGGAUCUUAUUGAGAUCAACUCUAUUUCUGUCACAUUGACUGAGACAGGCAGUUGGCCUUGUUCUGCUCCCGCCUACCUCAGUGCGAGCCCUGGCUUGCUUUACCCUGAUGCAGCACCGCUCGGCCUCGGCCCCUCACCCAGGGCUCCCGCCCCGCAUGUGACUAUAAGCAAGCCACCAGUGGUCAGCCCUGCACAGCCAAAAUCAGGCAACGGGGAAAGUAGAAUUCACAUUAAUGGGUUCCAAAUGUUGAUGGCAUUAGUCAACGAGCAAAGUGCUCUGGGUCAUAGGACAAGCUUGUUUGCCAUCCUCCCCUGCUCCCCUGAGGCUGUGAGCAAUAAUUAGGCUCACCAUCUUCCUUGCACUGAUAUGACAAACCAGUUUAACAGGAGAGCUCUUCCCUUGCCAGUCGGUCGUACCAAAGGCAGUUGAGCCCCAUACCGGCCUGUUCAGCUUUCUUCUAAAAGAUUUCACCUUUGAAUGGGACGACAGCUUAGCUGAGAGCAUCUCCUGCCUUCAUAGAGCCACUCCCCCACCCAGAAACCACCCUCACCUCCCUCUGCUCUCACAGCUGCCAGCUGGUCUCACAGCGCACCUGUCUAUCCCUUUAGUUUUCCCCAUCUUCAGUGGUGCUAGUGGUGUGCCCUUGCUGGUCCCUGCAGGUGACAGAAGGUGAGGUUGGGUGGAGGACAGUAGCCCACGGGUUGCUUAUCCCAAGUUCUUUCGCUGAGAGCUCACCGCUGCUUCCAGCUUAAUGAGCUGCACCAGCAUUGCAGAGCCUCUAUAAACGGUGUUGCUUGAAGAGGAACGGCGAUGUCCCCGCUGUGGUUCAGGUGUCCCUCAGCCCUUCAGGAGGUGCUUGUAUGAAAGCCACCAGGAGUUUGAGGAAGGGCACUGAGGUUUAACAUGUUAAGAGAAAGCUAAAGACCAGUUUGGCUCCCACUGGGUGAGCCUGUCUCAGCAGCCUGCCACCAGACUUCAAGCGUGCAGGGAAGUGCCCAUGCUCUUAGCAAAUACACUGAUGCAAGACAUUCAGAUAACAAAGCCAAGGGGUGAGCUAAAAGGGAAAAUAGUACUUCGACUUUCUCAAGACGAGGAUCCGUUCUUAGGCAAGGCUGACCAGCUAAUCAGUAUAACCAACGCUUGCUUAAAUCUUUUAAGGCAAAUCCUGCUCCCUUGACUCACGGGACUGACAUCCUAAGGGACUUCUGCUGCUCUUGGUACAAAGAAAACAAGCAGAUGCAAUCUAGGGAGAUGAGGAAGCUGGCUCCUCCAUGCCCGCUUCUCAGUACAGCAAACAGUACUUGGCCAGAAGUACAGAUUUCAUACAAAAUGCCCACGCUUGCUUAGAAUGCAGAUAGCCCACGCUUGAAUUAGACUAACCAUUGCUAAUAGAAAAUCUCAGAG